CGGUGUUUCUGUCAACUAGUUGGACAACUAUGAUGACAACUACAACUGAUCUGCUGCGGGCUGCUGAGGAAACUGACGACAGGCCUCCCUCAAAUGUCCCCUGGUUGGUAAUGUGGACAUCGGGGCUGUACAUGGACAGCAGUUGCUCAUCGCUCCCACGUUCCCUCCUGCGACCGGGUCAGAUGAGGCCUUUGCGCUCUACGAACUGUCUUCACGCCUUUUGCAGAUAAUUCCCGUUUUUCCUUAUCUUUCACUUGGACAGCGCUUUUCCACUUCCAAGGCACUCAAAGUGCCUCAAGACGAUGCAGCAUUGGGAGUAAAUGUUUCAGUAUCUUGCUCAAGGACACUGACACAUGCUCACAAGGUUAGGGGAUCAAACCCACAACCUCUGGGUCAGGAGAAGGCCACUUUAUCAGUGAGCCAUAACGCCCCCUGCAAUGCAUGCAUGGGGGUUUCUAUACUGUGAAGAUCAUGCUGCGGGUGUAUCAUAACCAUGUUUCCCCACCUUUAUUUCGCCAAGGGAAACAUUUUACAAAAUCUCCCGACACGCCUACAAAUGAAAAUAUCACAAAAAGUAUUGCAACUGAAACAAUGAUGAUCUUGUCUGAAUUUAGUCACAGAUUGCUAUCACCUGUUCGACUACAAAGCGUAUUAAGACAAUUGGUGAACGGUAAAUGGCAACCGUUGAUUAUACAGGUUAACUGUACUUUGUGACAUGUAGUGGGAGAGCAUUUGAUGGUUCUGCGUGUCACCAUAUGUCACUGCAAAGAAUGUAUCCGCAAAGAAUGUGCCCUCAUACAUUCUUUGCAGUCCCAUUUCAGUGAUUUAGGCCAACAAGCACAGGCAGGUUUUUGAGUGGGAGUGGAAAAUCACUUUCAGUGGCUGCAAGCAACAAGAAUCAGAACUCAAAUCUGAUCAUUCAAAAACAAAGCUGUUUUUACCCCAAACAAUCCGCUUUGACCACUUUUACAGCUAAGCACAAUAUUGAUAGCAUCAGCUCAUAGCAGUAGUAGCGUUGAUAACCUGUUUACGCUCAGAUAAGAGAUUUCACCAAAAAUUGUUGCUGGAUGUGAAUAACCUUGUUAUGUUGUUGGCUAUGUUCCCCACUUCAGUGGCAGGAAGGAAGGGUGGGCAACUGAGUCAUAAUAUACAGUACUAGGUAUCUUUGGAAUGCUGUGUUUUUCAUUCCAUUACUCUUUGACAUUCAGGGCCUUCUUGGUGAUCUCAUACGCAAGUUAAAUGUGUCACAGGUUUUAACCUUGUAACUGAUUGUCUUUCUGUUGUAACAACAAGACUGACCUGUAGAGGCAGCAAAUGUCUGUUGUAAUACCAUAACUGACCUGUAGAGGCA